CCAGGUUUACAGCUGAAUAUUCAACGACAAUAAUGUUAUUUGAUAUAAUCAAUAGGCUACUGCUUUCAUAUUCUAUUUACAAAGCACUUUCAGGACAUCUUUAUUGUAUGUAUGUAUAUAUUUACGUGCUGCAUGAUUUUGACGUGGUUAAUCAUUAAUGCCGUGCACGUGAACUUUCGAGUCUCUCAAACACUGGAGCGGCCGGCGCGCAGAGUUGCCAUGGAAACGGCGCGGGACCACUGCUACUGGUAAACAACAAAACUCCCUCUCUCGCUGUUGUUUCAACUUUUCACGGCUUUUUUCAGUAGUAACGAAAUAACCCAUAACAGAGAGAAAGCUCCACUACUUCAACAUUUCUGAAGAAAGCUGCUGCCGGAGAAGUAACGUUAGGACACAGAUGACUGUGGUGAAGAUGGAUGAAGAUGGAUGAGGCUUUCAAGUGCAGGAUCUACAAUUGUUUUCGUUUCACCUUUUGUUUUGCCUGUUUUGAAUGUGAUGCACAGCCUAGGCCUAUAUAAUUGUGUUUUUUUGUCUGUUUUUAAUCAACAAUUAAACAAUGAAUCGACAAAAACAUGGACUGUA